rnacentral:RNase_P_RNA from 1 species
GUAGAUUGAGCAAUCGCUGGUAUAAAAUUGAAAAAUUAUACUGGAGGAAAGUCCGAGCUCCAUAUGGCAGGAUAACGGCUAACAGCCGCCGGGGGUGACCCUAGGGAAAGUGCAACAGAAAUAUACCGCCUAUAAAUAUUAUGGGUAAGGAUGGAAAGGCGAGGUAAGAGCUCACCAGCAUACAGGAAACUGUAUGGCUCUGUAAACCCUAUCCGGAGCAACACCGUGGUGGAUAACAUGCAUCGGCCAGAUGCGUCUGUGGGGGUGGCAUUGAGCUAGAAUGGUAACAUUUAGCCAAGAUAGAUGAUUGCUUUUAACAGAAUUCGGCUUAUAGAUCUACUU